rnacentral:rRNA from 1 species
CCGCGGUGCAUUAGCUAGUUGGUGAGGUAACGGCUCACCAAGGCGACGAUGCAUAGCCGACCUGAGAGGGUGAUCGGCCACAUUGGGACUGAGACACGGCCCAAACUCCUACGGGAGGCAGCAGUAGGGAAUCUUCGGCAAUGGACGAAAGUCUGACCGAGCAACGCCGCGUGAGUGAAGAAGGUUUUCGGAUCGUAAAACUCUGUUGUUAGAGAAGAACAAGGAUGAGAGUAACUGUUCAUCCCUUGACGGUAUCUAACCAGAAAGCCACGGCUAACUACGUGCCAGCAGCCGCGGUAAUACGUAGGUGGCAAGCGUUGUCCGGAUUUAUUGGGCGUAAAGCGAGCGCAGGCGGUUUCUUAAGUCUGAUGUGAAAGCCCCCGGCUCAACCGGGGAGGGUCAUUGGAAACUGGGAGACUUGAGUGCAGAAGAGGAGAGUGGAAUUCCAUGUGUAGCGGUGAAAUGCGUAGAUAUAUGGAGGAACACCAGUGGCGAAGGCGGCUCUCUGGUCUGUAACUGACGCUGAGGCUCGAAAGCGUGGGGAGCAAACAGGAUUAGAUACCCUGGUAGUCCACGCCG